UCCAGUGUACACCUGAAAUAU
rnacentral:miRNA from 1 species